rnacentral:rRNA from 1 species
AUGGUCGCGCCGGAGCGGCCUCGGGUGCACAUGGUCACCGGAUCGUCGCCGCGCCGGUGCACGGAGCCGGAGGGCGACCACGUGCUCCUCCGCGCGUUCAAGAACAAGGCGGACUACUGCCGUGUCCACGGCCUGGACAUCUUCUACAGCAAUGCGGUGCUCGACGGCGAGAUGACGGGGUUCUGGACGAAGCUGCCGCUGCUGCGCGCGCUGAUGGUAGCGCACCCGGAGGCGGAGCUGCUCUGGUGGGUGGACUCGGACGCGGUGUUCACGGACAUGCUGUUCGAGCCGCCGUGGGGCAGGUACGCGGGUCACAACCUGGUGCUCCAUGGCUGGGACGGCGAGGUGUACGGCGCCAACACCGGUAGCUUCGUGCUCCGGAACUGCCGGUGGUCACUGGACCUCCUGGACGCGUGGGCGCGCAUGGGGCCGCGCGGCCAGGUGCGCGACCGGUACGGGAGGGUCUUCGCGGCGGCGCUGUCGAACCGGGCGGCCUGGGAGGCCGACGACCAGUCGGCGCUGGUGUACCUGCUGGUGACGGAGCGCGACCGGUGGGGGGACAAGGUGUUCCUCGAGAGCUCCUACCACCUGCACGGGUUCUGGGAGGAGAUCGUGGGGCGGUACGAGGAGAUGCGGAGCAGGUGA